AAUGAACGCUGGCGGCGCGCCUAAUACAUGCAAGUCGAGCGGUAAGGCCCUUUCGGGGGUACACGAGCGGCGAACGGGUGAGUAACACGUGGGUGACCUGCCCUCAGCUCUGGGAUAAGCCUGGGAAACCGGGUCUAAUACCGGAUAUGACUCCAUGACGCAUGUUGUGGGGUGGAAAGCCUUGUGCGGCUGAGGAUGGGCCCGCGGCCUAUCAGCUUGUUGGUGGGGUGANGGCCUACCAAGGCGACGACGGGUAGCCGGCCUGAGAGGGCGACCGGCCACACUGGGACUGAGACACGGCCCAGACUCCUACGGGAGGCAGCAGUGGGGAAUCUUGCGCAAUGGGCGAAAGCCUGACGCAGCGACGCCGCGUGAGGGAUGACGGCCU
rnacentral:rRNA from 1 species